rnacentral:rRNA from 1 species
GUGGCUUAAUUUGACUCAACGCGGGGAAUCUUACCGGGUCCGGACACACUGAGGAUUGACAGACAGUUGUCUUUCCCUCCCUUCGGGGUGGGAUUACAAAAGAUAACAGAUCUUUCAUGAUCAUGUGAUGGGUGGUGCAUGGCCGUUCUUAGUUCGUGGAGUGAUCUGUCUGCUUAAUUGCGUUUCAAAUUUUAUAUUUGUUAACAUGCGAGUCUUCAAUGACGGCCACUCCACCUUAUAGACAUUAUAUGAUAUGCACAUUUGUGUAUUUGAUUAUAACUUGUCUGGAGUCUGGCUCGAUUUUUUUGACUCAAUUGAACGCAACGGACGUGAUUGCAAGUCCUUGUUGAACAAAUUAUAUAUAUACUACUUCAUCAUUAGUAUAUAUAGUUCGCUUCUCAUGUCGUAGCAGUCAAACGGGCGGGCGUCUUAAUUGGCGCGGUCACGAGGCUUAAUAUGCUGCGGCUGGGAAAACUUGGGCGACCGCUGUAAUACUUCUCUCUUAAACCAGAGGAAGAUUGCGGCAAUAACAGG